rnacentral:lncRNA from 1 species
AGACCGGACGCCCUCCCGCUUCUUCUACCGACUGCUAGGCACACCAGUGGGUUCAUUUUGAAAGAGGCCCUUGCACCGGGCUUUGCAAGGAAGCCGGCAAGGUUAGAUUGAAGGUUAGAAGCCAAUUAGACUAGAAUCCUGCGAUCUGGUGAGACUGCCGCCUUAAAAUGCACCAAACAGUUUUUGAACCUGGAGGGCUAACAGGCGGGAAAAACAUCUGCAAGACUGCCACCGUGUAUUUUUCUCAAGUAACAGGCUAUCCACAGUUUUGGAAUUCCUUAGUGAAACUGUCACACAGGCACAAACACAUGUCAGCUUUCCUUCUAGUUUGUAAAUAAUAUUUGUAAUUUACAGGCCACUGUAUUCCCAACUUUGCACCAUGUGAUUUAGAGAAAGCAAAGCUCCCUCUUUAAAAAUAAUAUGUUACUUCUGAAAUACCGGGAUAUUCCACGGCAAGUAAGCCAUAUUGUCGCCAGAGCAAAUAAACCGCAGCCCCAUAUCAUAAUUCACUGGGUGCUAUAAGAUGUAACUUGGCUUUGCUUUGAAUGGAAAGAAUCCUGAACGUCUGUGAUGUGAUGAAGUUUUGGAGACUGGGGGCAGGAUUUCCUUUGAAUGUAAGGAAUUCGGAUAACUUGUUCAAGGAUGAUUCUAGUGAAAAACGUUUGUCCCAUGUUUGUUGGGACAAAAAUGCUGGAUAUGGUACAACAUUCUUCCUGCAGGUUCGGUUUUGUUGAAGAGAGUGAGGCCAGCUCGAGGUGAAGGAAAAACAUCAGAAAGGUGCUAAAGUGCAGAAAUAUCUUCCAGAGGCACUAAUAGCCGACUUUAGUUCUUGACCUUUAGCUAGAUCCACAAAGCACUGAGUUAAAAUUGUACACUGAUCCCUUCCAGAACAAAUUAAUUAAUUAAAUGGUGCCUCUUCCCAGCGUUAAUCGUUUAAAAGGACUCAAGUACCCACACAGUUUAAGCAAACUAAAAGAACACUGACACUUUCUCAGAGAACAGGGAUGGGAACUUUCUAUCUGCCCAUUAGUAUCUACCCCAAGCUACGAAGACUUCCAUUCCUCUUAUUAAGCAUUCAGCAACUACAUUUAGUGCCUACUAUGCCAGUGAUGCAAGAAUGGAUAAGACAGUCCCUACACUCAAGGAUAACGCCUCUAGUAGAUUCAACUCAACUGUGAGUGAAAAAUA